GACGAACCGUGCGACCGUUAUUCGGAAUCACUGGGCUUAAAGCGCGUGUAGGCGGGCCGGCGCGUCGGUCGCUGAAAUCCCCCGGCUCAACCGGGGAAGGGGCACCGAUACGGCCGGCCUGGAGGGGGGUAGGGGGCGCUGGAACUCACGGUGGAGCGGUGAAAUGCGUUGAGAUCGUGAGGAACGCCCGCGGCGAAAGCGAGCGCCUGGACCCUUUCUGACGCUGAGACGCGAAAGCCAGGGGAGCGAACGGG
rnacentral:rRNA from 1 species